rnacentral:rRNA from 1 species
UACGAAGGGGGCUAGCGUUGCUCGGAAUCACUGGGCGUAAAGCGCACGUAGGCGGAUUGUUAAGUCAGGGGUGAAAUCCUGGAGCUCAACUCCAGAACUGCCUUUGAUACUGGCGAUCUUGAGUCCGGGAGAGGUGAGUGGAACUGCGAGUGUAGAGGUGAAAUUCGUAGAUAUUCGCAAGAACACCAGUGGUGAAGGCGGCUCACUGGCCCGGUACUGACGCUGAGGUGCGAAAGCUAGGGGAGCGAACGGG